GAUGAGCGCUAGCUACAGGCUUAACACAUGCAAGUCGAGGGGAAACGACAUCGAAAGCUUGCUUUUGAUGGGCGUCGACCGGCGCACGGGUGAGUAACGCGUAUCCAACCUGCCCACCACUUGGGGAUAACCUUGCUAAAGUAAGACUAAUACCCAAUGACGUCUCUAGAAGCCAUCUGAAAGAGAUUAAAGAUUUAUCGGUGAUGGAUGGGGAUGCGUCUGAUUAGCUUGUUGGCGGGGUAACGGCCCACCAAGGCGACGAUCAGUAGGGGUUCUGAGAGGAAGGUCCCCCACAUUGGAACUGAGACACGGUCCAAACUCCUACGGGAGGCAGCAGUGAGGAAUAUUGAUCAAUGGACGAGAGUCUGAACCAGCCAAGUAGCGUGCAGGAGGACGGCCCUAUGGGUUGUAAACUGCUUUUAUAAGGGAAUAAAGUGAGUCUCGUGAGACUUUUUGCAUGUACCUUAUGAAUAAGGACCGGCUAAUUCCGUG
rnacentral:rRNA from 1 species